AGCGAACGCUGGCGGCAGGCCUAAUACAUGCAAGUCGAGCGCACCUUCGGGUGAGCGGCGGACGGGUGAGUAACGCGUGGGAACGUGCCCUUUGGUACGGGAUAACUGAGGGAAACUUCAGCUAAUACCGUAUGUGCCCUACGGGGGAAAGAUUUAUCGCCAUUGGAGCGGCCCGCGUUGGAUUAGGUAGUUGGUGAGGUAAAGGCUCACCAAGCCUACGAUCCAUAGCUGGUCUGAGAGGAUGAUCAGCCACACUGGGACUGAGACACGGCCCAGACUCCUACGGGAGGCAGCAGUAGGGAAUCUUGCGCAAUGGGCGAAAGCCUGACGCAGCCAUGCCGCGUGUAUGAUGAAGGUCUUAGGAUUGUAAAAUACUUUCACCGGGGAAGAUAAUGACGGUACCCGGAGAAGAAGCCCCGGCUAACUUCGUGCCAGCCGCCGCGGUAAGAC
rnacentral:rRNA from 1 species